UGGGGAAUUUUGGACAAUGGGGGAAACCCUGAUCCAGCCAUCCCGCGUGUGCGAUGAAGGCCUUCGGGUUGUAAAGCACUUUUGGCAGGAAAGAAACGUCGCGGGUUAAUACCCCGCGGAACUGACGGUACCUGCAGAAUAAGCACCGGCUAACUACGUGCCAGCAGCCGCGGUAAUACGUAGGGUGCAAGCGUUAAUCGGAAUUACUGGGCGUAAAGCGUGCGCAGGCGGUUCGGAAAGAAAGAUGUGAAAUCCCAGAGCUUAACUUUGGAACUGCAUUUUUAACUACCGGGCUAGAGUGUGUCAGAGGGAGGUGGAAUUCCGCGUGUAGCAGUGAAAUGCGUAGAUAUGCGGAGGAACACCGAUGGCGAAGGCAGCCUCCUGGGAUAACACUGACGCUCAUGCACGAAAGCGUGGGGAGCAAACAGGAUUAGAUACCCUGGUAGUCCACGCCCUAAACGAUGUCAACUAGCUGUUGGGGUCUUCGGACCUUGGUAGCGCAGCUAACGCGUGAAGUUGACCGCCUGGGGGAGUACGGUCGCAAGAUUAAAACUCAAAGGAAUU
rnacentral:rRNA from 1 species